rnacentral:rRNA from 1 species
GACGAACGCUGGCGGCGUGCUUAACACAUGCAAGUCGAACGGAAAGGCCCUGCUUUUUGGGGUUUCUCGGUGGCGGACCGGGGAGUAAAAACUGAGUUACCCGCCCCUUACCUUGGGGUUACCUCCGGGAAACGGGGGCAAUAACCGCUUAGAACCUCUUGCGCCUGGUGGGGGUUGGGAAGAUUCGGGGGUUGGGGAUGGUCCUGCGGCUUUUCACCUUGUUGGUGGGGGUGUGGUUUACCAAGGCUUUGACGGGUAGCCGGCCUGAGACGGUGACCGGGCACAUUGGGACUGAGAUACGGCCCAGACUCCUACGGGAGGCAGCAGUGGGGAAUAUUGCACAAUGGGCGGAAGCCUGAUGCAGCAACGCCGCGUGCGGGAUGACGGCCUUCGGGUUGUAAACCGCUUUCGCCUGUGACGAAGCGUGAGUGACGGUAAUGGGUAAAGAAGCACCGGCUAACUACGUG